rnacentral:rRNA from 1 species
GACGAACGCUGGCGGCGUGCUUAACACAUGCAAGUCGAACGGAAAGGCCCUGCUUUUGUUUGGUUCUCGAUUGGCGAACGGGUGAGUAACACGUGAGUAACCUGCCCUUGACUUUGUGAUAACUUCAGGAAACUGGGGCUAAUACCGGGUAGGAUCUCCUGCUGCAUGGUGGUGGUUGGAAAGUUUCGGCGGUGGGGGAUGGACUCGCGGCUUAUCAGCUUGUUUGUCGGGUAGUGGCUUACCAGGGCUUUGACGGGUAGCCGGCCUGAGAGGGUGACCGGCCACCUUGGGACUGAGAUACGGCGCAGACUCCUACGGGACGCAGCAGUGGGGAAUAUUGCAGAAUGGGCGGAAGCCUGAUGUAGCAACGCCGCGUGCGGGAUGACGGCCUUCGGGUUGUAAACCGCUUUCGCCUGUGACGAAGCGUGAGUGACGGUAAUGGGUAAAGAAGCACCGGCUAACUACGUG